GGGAGUAAAAGUCGUAACAAGGUUUCCGUAGGUGAACCUGCGGAAGGAUCAUUAUUGUAUAACCGAGGUGCGAGGGCUGUCGCUGACCCGAAAGGUCGUGCACGCCCGAGUGCCCUCACACACAUCCAUCUCACCCCUAUGUGCACCACCGCGUGGGUCCCCCUUUGGCUUGUUCGGAGGGGGGCUUACGUUUUCACACAAACUUUGUAUGCAGUGUAGAAUGUACUUUUUGUUUUUGCGAUCACGCAAUCAAUACAACUUUCAACAACGGAUCUCUUGGCUCUC
rnacentral:misc_RNA from 1 species